rnacentral:tRNA from 1 species
GGAAGGUUCCGCUGGGUUGGCUAGCAGCUGGUGUUGAAUACCAGAGGGGCUCGCAAGGGUGAGGGUUCGACUCCUUAACCUUCCGCCA